CUCAGAAACUUAAAGGAAUUGACGGGGCCCGCACAAGCGGUGGAGUAUGUGGCUUAAUUCGAUGCAACGCGAAGAACCUUACCUGGUCUUGACAUCCCGGAGACCCUUAGGAAACUAGGGGGUGCUUCCAUCUGGAAGAAUCUGGAGACAGGUGCUGCAUGGCUGUCGUCAGCUCGUGUCGUGAGAUGUUGGGUUAAGUCCCGCAACGAGCGCAACCCUUGCCUUUAGUUGCCAGCAGUUCGGCUGGGCACUCUAAAGGGACUGCCGGUGUUAAACCGGAGGAAGGUGGGGAUGACGUCAAGUCCUCAUGGCCUUUAUGACCAGGGCUACACACGUACUACAAUGGCCGAUACAAAGGGCAGCGACACUGCGAGGUGAAGCCAAUCCCGUAAAAUCGGUCUCAGUCCGGAUUGGAGUCUGCAACUCGACUCCAUGAAGUUGGAAUCGCUAGUAAUCGUGGAUCAGCAUGCCACGGUGAAUACGUUCCCGGGCCUU
rnacentral:rRNA from 1 species